rnacentral:rRNA from 1 species
GACGAACGCUGGCGGCGUGCUUAACACAUGCAAGUCGAACGGAAAGGCCCUGCUUUUGUGGGGUGCUCGAGUGGCGAACGGGUGAGUAACACGUGAGUAACCUGCCCUUGACUUUGGGAUAACUUCAGGAAACUGGGGCUAAUACCGGAUAGGAGCUCCUGCUGCAUGGUGGGGGUUGGAAAGUUUCGGCGGUUGGGGAUGGACUCGCGGCUUAUCAGCUUGUUGGUGGGGUAGUGGCUUACCAAGGCUUUGACGGGUAGCCGGCCUGAGAGGGUGACCGGCCACAUUGGCACUGGGGUACGGCCCAGACUCCUACGGGAGGGAGCAGUCGGAAAUAUUGCACAAUGGGCGGAAGCCUGAUGCAGCAACGCCGCGUGCGGGAUAACGGCCUUCGGGUUGUAAACCGCUUUCGCCUGUGACGAAGCGUGAGUGACGGUAAUGGGUAAAGAAGCACCGGCUAACUACGUG